rnacentral:rRNA from 1 species
AUGAACGCUAGCGAUAGGCUUAACACAUGCAAGUCGAGGGGCAGCACAAGGUAGCUUGCUAUCUGGGUGGCGACCGGCGCACGGGUGCGUAACGCGUAUGCAACUUGCCCUAUACAGGAGGAUAACCCGUCGAAAGACGGACUAAUACUGCGUAUGCUCACAACUUGGCAUCAAGUGGUGAGGAAAGAAAUUCGGUAUAGGAUAGGCAUGCGUCCCAUUAGCUUGUUGGUGAGGUAACGGCUCACCAAGGCAACGAUGGGUAGGGGAACUGAGAGGUUUAUCCCCCACACUGGUACUGAGACACGGACCAGACUCCUACGGGAGGCAGCAGUGAGGAAUAUUGGUCAAUGGGCGCGAGCCUGAACCAGCCAAGUCGCGUGAAGGAUGACUGUCUUAUGGAUUGUAAACUUCUUUUAUACGGGAAUAACAAGAGUCACGUGUGACUCCCUGCAUGUACCGUAUGAAUAAGCAUCGGCUAACUCCUUG